rnacentral:lncRNA from 1 species
GGGGGCAGGGCUUGGCAAUGGGAAGCAUCACAAGCAGCGUGGCCCCACCCCUGGAGCGCUCCCCUCCCCUCUCCUGUCCUGAGAUGCUGCUGCAGACUCACGUCUUCCUCUCCAAAGGUCCUGGGAGCUGAGGACUACUCAAACGCCUGGGAAAAUAAAACGUCGGAUUCCAAGCGCCUUUCUCCCAAACCGGCUGUGAGAUGUGCUGGCCUCUCCUCUCCAAGACUUGGGGACGAGGGCUGCAAGCAGUCUGGGACCACCUUCAGCUUUAUCGAUGUGUAGCUGACAUGCAGGAGCUGCUCAGGACUGAGCAGUGCGCACUUU